AUUGCUUCUCGACCUUUUGGCUAAGAUCAAGUGUAGUAUCUGUUCUUAUCAGUUUAAAACUUUACAUAUUGAGGUCCAGUCAAAGGCCAAAUUAUACUGUAUUUUAUUAAAGGUAAUUCAU
ensembl:snRNA U2 U2 spliceosomal RNA